AUUGAACGCUGGCGGCAGGCCUAACACAUGCAAGUCGGACGGUAGCACAGAGGAGCUUGCUCCUCGGGUGACGAGUGGCGGACGGGUGAGUAAUGUCUGGGGAUCUGCCCGAUAGAGGGGGAUAACCACUGGAAACGGUGGCUAAUACCGCAUAACGUCGCAAGACCAAAGAGGGGGACCUUCGGGCCUCCCACUAUCGGAUGAACCCAGAUGGGAUUAGCUAGUAGGCGGGGUAAAGGCCCACCUAGGCGACGAUCCCUAGCUGGUCUGAGAGGAUGACCAGCCACACUGGAACUGAGACACGGUCCAGACUCCUACGGGAGGCAGCAGUGGGGAAUAUUGCACAAUGGGCGCAAGCCUGAUGCAGCCAUGCCGCGUGUACGAAGAAGGCCUUCGGGUUGUAAAGUACUUUCAGCGGGGAGGAAGGCGAUGUGGUUAAUAACCGCGUCGAUUGACGUUACCCGCAGAAGAAGCACCGGCUAACUCCGUGCCAGCCGCCGCAGUAA
rnacentral:rRNA from 1 species